CAGCCCAGCACACUGAUGAUCUAUGGAGAGAUUAUUGAAAUCUAUGGAAAGAACUUCCAGACAAUCUUUCGCUACAUAUAAUUCUGUAGAGUAGUGACUCGUUGCGAUGUAACAAAUUAGAAUCCAUUUGGCCAAAGUCACUACUUGCCUUUGGCUUUGCAAUCUAUCUACCUUGACAAAACUGAGGAUUUACAUCCAUGUCUUCUCGUUUCUUUUUAUUCUUUCAGAGAAUUUGUAUCCUUGCUCUUUUUUUCUAGUAUUUGUUCUUUUGCUUGGUUGUGUUUGUUUUUGUUUGUUAGUUUUUGCAUCAGAAGGCCACUACAGAUGCUUGGGGGAGGUGGGGGGCAGUGACAUGGCAUUUGGGAAAGUUUACUUGGUGGCAGAGUGCAGACACAUUGCAGAGAGUGUGGCUGAGGCAGUGAUCUUACAUGCCAGCCGACGUGGCUUUUUGAGUAUUAUAGCUGGUUGGGGUGGAAUAUCAAACAUUUCCUUGCACCCGUCUCUGCCUUUCCUUUGGUUUGUCAACAUGCCUCUAUUCUCCAUCAUCCUCCCUGUCCAGGACAAAGGGAAGUACUUCCCGUCCUUACUGCAUGAGGUAAUGACUUGGGUCCGUGUUACACCCUCUCCAACAUCCUACCUCCUGAGGAAUAGAAACUCGCUUGCUUGGUUUUCUUGUUGACCUUGAGUGAGUGAAACAAAUAAUAGACUCUGGGUCUAAGUCCCAGCCCUUGGCCUCUGUCCUGCUCCAAAGCCCAUUCUAGCCUCAGGGGUGUUUACUGUGAAAGCUCACUGAAAUCGUCCUCACAAUCAUCUAGCCGUCUAGACCACGACAGUCAGCCCUACUACAACACAAAUUUGUUCCUAAAACUACGCCCAAUUUUAAUAAGUAAUUUCUAAAAGAAACGAAUAAGUAUAUGUAGAGCUGAGUACCAAACAGACUCGGGUACUUUGCCUCCAGCCCACAGACACACCUUCACCUACAUGAACCUGAUUGUAAAUGUAAAGUUUUGUUUUAUUUUCCUGUGAAACAUGCAGGUAGUACUCAGGCCUCCACCUCCCAAUCUGCUUGAUUAUAAAUGGGUAGGGCUGGAUAUUAGUGAAUAUUAGGCAUGAUCAAGUACCCAUAAUUCAUUCAUUCAUGCAUUCAUUCACUCAUUCAUUCAGUGUCAUGUGUCAGGCAUUGUGUUGGGAAUUGAAAAUACAAAGCUAAAUACAAUGUAAGCUCUGUCUCUAAGAAUUCGCAGUCUUGUGGGGGUAGAGGCACACACAAACAGAUGAUUAUAACAUAAUGUGAUAAGCACCCUGUCGGAGACAGGCCUAAAGUAUUAGAGAAGUGCAAAGUCAGAGGUGCCCUAAUUCCCUGAGACUCCAGAGUUAGACUUCCCUCCAGUAGACUUCCAUCAUCAUAUGUGACAUCUCGGAUGAGAACUGAAAGGAGAUGCUGUUUAAGCAGAAGAAAAGGAAACUAUAGAACAGGAGGCUUUGUUUACACUCCAGGUAAGGAAAUCGAGGGUUAAAAAAAGUAAUCACACCAACGCAAAAAGAGGAGGAAGACAGCAAAGUAUCAGGAAUGCAGCUGGAUGAAUAAUUGAUGAGCUGGUGGCCUAACAGAGAGUC
rnacentral:lncRNA from 1 species